rnacentral:rRNA from 1 species
UAACCUCGGGAAACUGAGGCCAAUAGCGGAUAUAACUCUCAGGCUGGAGUGCCGAGAGUUAGAAACGUUCCGGCGCUGUAGGAUGUGGCUGCGGCCGAUUAGGUAGAUGGUGGGGUAACGGCCCACCAUGCCGAUAAUCGGUACAGGUUGUGAGAGCAAGANCCNGGAGACGGUAUCUGAGACAAGAUACCGGGCCCUACGGGGCGCAGCAGGCGCGAAACCUUUACACUGCACGACAGUGCGAUAGGGGGACUCCGAGUGNGAGGGCAUAUAGCCCUCGCUUUUCUGUACCGUAAGGUGGUACAGGAACAAGGACUGGGCAAGACCGGUGCCAGCCGCCGCGGUAAUACCGGCAGUCCAAGUGAUGGCCGAUAUUAUUGGGCCUAAAGCGUCCGUAGCNUGCUGNNNAAGUCCAUUGGGAAAUCGACNNGCUCAACUGGUCGGCGUCCNGNGGAAACUNCACAGCUUGGGGCCGAAAGACUCANCGGGGUACGUCCGGGGGUAGGAGUGAAAUCCUGUAAUCCUGGACGGACCACCAAUGGGGAAAACCACNUNGAGAAAACGGACCCGACAGUGAGGGACGAAAGCNAGGGUCUCGAACCGGAUUAGAUACCCGGGUAGUCCUGGCUGUAAACAAUGCUCGCUAGGUAUGUCACGCGCUAUGAGCA